rnacentral:rRNA from 1 species
UGCCAGCCGCCGCGGUAACACGAACCGUACGAACGUUAUUCGGAAUUAUUGGGCUUAAAGGGUGCGUAGGCGGCGUUGUAGGUGGGGUGUGAAAGCCCUCGGCUCAACCGAGGAAUUGCGCCCCAAACCACAAUGCUAGAGGGAGACAGAGGUAAGCGGAACUGAUGGUGGAGCGGUGAAAUGCGUUGAUAUCAUCAGGAACACCGGUGGCGAAAGCGGCUUACUGGGUCUCUUCUGACGCUGAGGCACGAAAGCUAGGGUAGCGAACGGGAUUAGAUA